GAUUCCCAGGCCGGCUCCUAGAAACCCUUAAUAGUAGAAAACCAUAGGGGGAAACACCAGUAAUUAGACAGAACAGAAUACAAUUGCUUUUUUAAAAGUUAUUUUGAUCCCUGGUGGUCAAAUGAAAAACAUGAUCAUGGGAGGCCAUGGAAGGUGAGCCGUCGAUAUUCCGAAGGGAAGCCGGGAUCCGUCCAAGGGCGUUCGAGAUAAAAGCAGGAGCAAAGGCCACGUCGGGGACAUGAUACAUCACAACAUGCAGGCAGCAUGGCCCUGAGUCACCACGUGGAGACAAGCCUCAAGAGGACUCCACUUCCCAGUGGACGUUGCACGAGCAAGCAGGAAACCUCUUCUGUGAGCCCCUGAGGUUCAGGGUUUUUUGUUUUUUUUUAGUACCAUGGCUACUGUGACGUAUCCUGACUAAUGCCGACAGCACAGGGAGCCUUUGCCUGCCGGAGGAAGCGGUGAGGAAGAGGUGGUGCGUCGUGCACUUCCUGUUGCUGUUUUAGGACAGCUUGGGUGAGUCCAGCAUUAAAAAUCAGAAUGGGAAAAAGGAGAGGAAACCCGGAAGGGUCUACAUGGGAAAGCCAGGGUCUGCGGAAGACAGAUUGUCUCUCCCAGGAUGCCUGGUGUUUUUGGAGGGGCACGCAGCAGUUGGAGGUUUGCAUUUCAGGAUUUGCCUUACAUUAAAAUGCAAUUUAUCUGUUAAUUCUAUUUACUUAUUUAACUCACAUGGAUUAACUGCCUAUUCUGUGUACCAGACGUAGUUUGUUCCAGGGAAGUGCUGCUGAACCAGGUAAACCCAGCCCCCCAUCUCCAGGAGCAGAGGCUGCAAGGACAGGAAGACAAUGAGGCAAUGGUGUGCUGGGGGAAUCGUGCUAAAGUGAAAGCAUCCUUCGAUCAUUUUUAAGUCAUUCUAGGAUCUUCAGGGCAUCAAAGUUUUGCCUGUGAGCCUCAAUUGGUCUAAUACAAAAAUACAGACUGUGGUUAAUCAUCUGAGCUUUGAGAUCAUGUGAGAUUGUAAUCCUGCCUUGGUUCUGCCACUUACUGCUGGUGAAGGAAAAAUUAAUCUUUCCAAACAGCUUGCAAGACAGAAAUCAUGCUUUCUACCUCCCAAAGCUGCUGUGGGCAUGAAACAGCCCACGUGCAUGAGGUGCCCAGCAUAGCGCCUGGAAAUCACACACAAUCACAGAAUCAUGGGGCCAGAGGAGGCCCUUGAAGUUUUAUCUGAUUUACUCCUCCCAUGAGAUGCUUUAAUUCUCCAACUUCUCCUCAAUGGCACCUAUAAAGAAAUGGGUUCUCCCUCUGUUGUUCUCUC
ensembl:lncRNA novel transcript